CAAUGCCGCGUGAGUGAAGAAGGCCUUCGGGUUGUAAAGCUCUUUUGUCAGGGAAGAAACGGUGUGGGCUAAUAUCCCGCACUAAUGACGGUACCUGAAGAAUAAGCACCGGCUAACUACGUGCCAGCAGCCGCGGUAAUACGUAGGGUGCAAGCGUUAAUCGGAAUUACUGGGCGUAAAGCGUGCGCAGGCGGUUUUGUAAGUCUGUCGUGAAAUCCCCGGGCUCAACCUGGGAAUUGCGAUGGAGACUGCAAGGCUAGAAUCUGGCAGAGGGGGGUAGAAUUCCACGUGUAGCAGUGAAAUGCGUAGAGAUGUGGAGGAACACCGAUGGCGAAGGCAGCCCCCUGGGUCAAGAUUGACGCUCAUGCACGAAAGCGUGGGGAGCAAACAGGAUUAGAUACCCUGGUAGUCCACGCCCUAAACGAUGUCUACUAGUUGUCGGGUUUUAAUUAACUUGCUAAGGCAGCUAACGC
rnacentral:rRNA from 1 species